UUUUCUUGUUGGGAUGCUGAUGUGGCAAUGUAAUCUCUCGACCCAAUAAAGAAGCGACACCUAGCCACCUAUCUGUCCAUCAAGAGGCGCCAAACAGCUCCCAAGUCCCAUCCCAAUCAUAAUCAAGUGUAAACGAAACCCUCCAAUCUUGCUCGGGUCGAAAACCUCACCUACUGGACCUUCCUCAUCCUUAAUCACUGCCGAACAUAGAUCCUGCCAUCAACAACCACUGCCUCGGCCCACGACCUCAUCGCCUUCAUCAGAUCUAUUUCCGUGCAUCGUUUGCUAAUACAAUCUCUUGGAAAUCCUUCUAGAAAAGAUUUGAUUCAAGCCCGGCGUCCUUGGCACGGGCAUUAGAGUAGUGUUGCAGUGAACUAGGGUAGGAAUUUAGAUUGAUUUUUGGCUUGUGGACCACGGCGGAGGUGGUGACGAGGGGAUGCUCCUCUGUUUCUUCAAAGUUGGGCUGGAGCUUUCCCGGUGUUGAAGAUUCUGAAUUAAUACAUGACCGAUUUACUCGUCUUGGAUCUUCGGAUCAACUCGUCUAAGAACUUCGGAUCAACUCAUUUCAGAUCUUCGAAUCAACUUGUCUCAGAUCUCCAAAUGCACUCAUCUUGGAUCUCCAGAUCUACUCAUCUUAGACUCUCGCAACUUCGUAUUUAGUUUUAAGGUGGACACUUGAGUUAAAAUCUUCAUGUACCAACUUGAGAAGGGGGGGUGGGGAUUGGGGCGCGGGGGAGAAUAUCAUGAUAGAAGUGAUUUAAGCCUUCAUAGAAUAUUGAUGGGAGUGAUUUAAGGGAUUGAUUUUUAUUUUUAUUUUUCCCCAGAAAGUUAUGUUUGAAUUUAGGAAUCCUCCAUCAAUGUAUUUUCCAUAGUUAUCACUUGUACUCUUUCACCUAUAAAUAGAGGUGGUCAUUGUGAACAAAACUAAGAAAGAAUAUAAAAUAACUGAUGUAGCCCUUUUGGCUUUUUGUGCGGUGGAUGUAGGUCAUAGUGGCCGAACCAUGUUUAUCUUUGAGUUGUUUCAUUAUUGUUUACUCUCUUCAAUCUUUUACUUUCUUUCAACAAAGUCGAUGAGAGAAAAAUGAUCUGGUUUGUAGGUGAUAAAGGACAUCGACUAAAAUAAAAAAGGAAAAAAAAAAAAAAAAAAAAAAAA